rnacentral:rRNA from 1 species
UACGAGAGGUGCAAGCGUUAUUCGGAUUAAUUGGGUGUAAAGGGCGCGUAGACGGCAUGUUAAGUUUGUAGUUAAAUACUCCGGCUCAACUGGAGAAAUGCUGCAAAGACUGGCAAGCUAGAGGAUGGAAGAGAGAAGUGGAAUUCUCGGAGUAGCGGUAAAAUGCGUAGAUCUCGAGAGGAACACCGAUGGCGAAGGCAGCUUCUUGGUCCAUUCCUGACGUUGAGGCGCGAAAGCGUGGGGAGCAAACAGG